AGAAUCUUAAUUUUACUAAAAAGCCCUAAUUUUUUGAACUAAUUACCAGAAAUCCUAAUACUCGUGCAUGCAUAAGCUGAACGAGUUCAUAAUAAUACAUUAAUUAAGUGAAAAUUCUAGUUGAAAUCUAUCAAACCCCUAAUUGGAAGAUCAAUCAGAAACUAUGGCGAAACCUUAGUCGAAGAAUAUGGCGAAACCUUAAAUGAAAAAAUAGGGCAAAAUAUAAAUGAAAGAGUAAAGGAAACAAACAAUAACACAUCAUAAGAGUGGAUAAUCAUUUACUUGGUAAGACUUUCAGACAUGAUCGAAAGAAAAUCGACCAAACGCUUCACGAAAUCGAGCAAUAACUUCACGUCUAAGAACUGCAACUGACCCAAAUCCAGAAAGAAUUUUGCGAAAUCUGCCCUUUUCUCUGUCGAUUACACUUCUUAGAGAGCCAAAUGGUUUGAAAUCCGCCCUUUACUCCGUCGAUUACACUUCUUAGAGCUUAGUGAGAAAUUUUGAGCUUAGUGAGAAGCAUAGUCCGGAAGUUUUAAGAAGUUUGACAUUUAUUUAUCUAGGUGGCUAAUAUUUAUCCAACUGCAAAUCCACAUCAUCACUUUUGUCAACCUGUCAUGCAUGUGUAUACACGAUUGGAGUGGCCGGACUAUACAGGUGUACGCGAUGGAGGAAUAAACAAGUUCGGGGUAAUUAAAACGGAAUAUAGUUUAUGUGUACACUGAAUAAAAAACUUCAAGUUCAGGGGGGUAAUGAGCACUUUUGCCAAAAGGAACCAAAGCCUUCAAUCGUAGAGCAAAAUUAAAAAUAUUAGAUCUAUAUUUAUCCAUGGAGCAAAGUAAAAGAUCACUCUCUAUUAGUGAUCUAAAUGCACUAACAGACACAUAAAAUUGAUCAUUUAAUGCUAAAAAAAACACACAAGCUUUGGUUAACAAAGGAAUGAGGUUUUUGUAAAAUUCGACGAAUAACAUAAGUAGAACCUCAAAUAAAUUAAAGCUCUUUGAGCUAGAAACGAAUUGGUAAAGAAUAUAAUCCAAAGAUUUGAGAAGAGAAUAGACUUGUCUUAAGCCCUAAUUUCUUUAAACAUCAUGACAGUAACAACUUCAAAUUAACAAAAGUGACAACAAAUUCAACACUCACCAAGAAGAAGCUGAAUGACGGAAGAAACAAGAAGAAGUUGAAUGAUGGAAGAAACAAGAAGAAGUUGAAUGACGGAAGAAACAAACAGAGGUCGCGAUGAAGAC
rnacentral:lncRNA from 1 species